rnacentral:rRNA from 1 species
UGGGGAAUAUUGGACAAUGGGCGCAAGCCUGAUCCAGCAAUGCCGCGUGUGUGAAGAAGGCCUUCGGGUUGUAAAGCACUUUUAUCAGGAGCGAAACGCUGUCGGCUAAUACCCGGCGGAACUGACGGUACCUGAGGAAUAAGCACCGGCUAACUUCGUGCCAGCAGCCGCGGUAAUACGAAGGGUGCAAGCGUUAAUCGGAAUUACUGGGCGUAAAGCGUGCGUAGGCGGUUUCUUAAGUCUGCUGUGAAAUCCCCGGGCUCAACCUGGGAAUGGCAGUGGAUACUGGGAGGCUAGAGUGUGUCAGAGGGUGGUGGAAUUCCCGGUGUAGCGGUGAAAUGCGUAGAGAUCGGGAGGAACAUCAGUGGCGAAGGCGGCCACCUGGGACAACACUGACGCUGAGGCACGAAAGCGUGGGGAGCAAACAGGAUUAGAUACCCUGGUAGUCCACGCCCUAAACGAUGCGAACUGGAUGUUGGUCUCAACUCGGAGAUCAGUGUCGAAGCUAACGCGUUAAGUUCGCCGCCUGGGGAGUACGGUCGCAAGACUGGAAACUCAAAUGAAUUGACGGGGUCAUAGCUGUUUCC